UCAAAUGUCUUCACUAUUUCAUAAAGCUCAAGAAAUCUAAUUACAACCCUUCACUGUUGCAGGCCAUAAUAUGAACAUGAACCUGAACCAACGGGAACCAACAACUAAAUGAGCCUGUAUCCUAGACUAACAACCUGUGCAAUACACUUUUAACAACUUGAAGCACACUAUAUAACGUAUAACACAACAUGUUCCAUAGGACAUA
rnacentral:lncRNA from 1 species